GCAGUCAUUUGUAGCAAGCUCACCCAGCAAGCCCUCUGCAGUUCCUUGGAUUCAAUUCAGAGGUUUGAAGGAGAGACUAUUGAAAUUGUGAACACAGUUCAGUAGAGAAGAUACCUUGCGUGUUAAGGACCUAGGCAUUUAGGAUCGUUUCACACAUAUUUCUGCCUACUGCCUCCAGUAAGGGUCAUCAUGAUUCACUACGGAAGUUUUCCAUGUCUCCACCUUGAAGAUUUUCUGGACCCCCAUAAUUCAUGGGACACCCUGUUUUAUCUGAUUCCCGUGGAUGACAUGGAAGAGGGUGUAGAUGGAAUUCUAGAAAUAUAUGAAGAAACGGAAGGUGAUAAUGAAGAGGAGGAGCUGUUGCUCAUGGAAGAGGUGGAAGAAGAGGUGGAAGAAAGGGAAGAGGAAAGGGAGGAAGAAAGGGAAGAGGAAAGGGAGGAGGAAGCAGAAACCAAUGUUACUGAGAAUGUGGAGUAGAACUGAGAAAUAAAAGAGAGGGAGGGAAAGGAGGAGAA